GUGAGGAAUAUUGGUCAAUGGACGAGAGUCUGAACCAGCCAAGUCGCGUGAAGGAAGACGGUUCUAUGAAUUGUAAACUUCUUUUGUGCAGGAAUAAAGUGGGUUACGUGUAACCUUUUGUAUGUACUGUACGAAUAAGGAUCGGCUAACUCCGUGCCAGCAACCGCGGUAAUACGGAGGAUCCGAGCGUUAUCCGGAUUUAUUGGGUUUAAAGGGUGCGUAGGUGGAUUGAUAAGUCAGCGGUGAAAGUUUGCAGCUUAACUGUAAAAUUGCCGUUGAAACUGUCGGUCUUGAGUGCAAAUGAGGUAGGCGGAAUGUGUUGUGUAGCGGUGAAAUGCUUAGAUAUAACACAGAACUCCGAUUGCGAAGGCAGCUUACUGGGAUGCAACUGACACUGAUGCACGAAAGCGUGGGUAUCAAACAGGAUUAGAAACCCGAGUAGUCC
rnacentral:rRNA from 1 species